rnacentral:rRNA from 1 species
UACGGAGGGUGCGAGCGUUAUUCGGAAUUACUGGGCGUAAAGCGCGUGUAGGCGGUUUUGCAAGUCUGAUGUGGAAGCCCUGGGCUUAACCCGGGAAGUGCAUUGGAAACUGCGGGACUUGAGUACCGGAGAGGAAGGGGGAAUUCCCGGUGUAGAGGUGAAAUUCGUAGAGAUCGGGAGGAAUGCAAGGGGCGUAGGCGCCCUUCUGGACGGUUACUGACGCUGAGACGCGAAAGCGUGGGGAGCAAACAGG